UACGUAGGGUCCGAGCGUUGUCCGGAAUUAUUGGGCGUAAAGAGCUCGUAGGCGGUUUGUCGCGUCUGCUGUGAAAUCCCGAGGCUCAACCUCGGGCCUGCAGUGGGUACGGGCAGACUGGAGUGCGGUAGGGGAGAAUGGAAUUCCUGGUGUAGCGGUGGAAUGCGCAGAUAUCAGGAGGAACACCGGUGGCGAAGGCGGGUCUCUGGGCCGUAACUGACGCUGAGACGCGAAAGCGUGGGGAGCGAACAGG
rnacentral:rRNA from 1 species